GCUGGGCAUGGUGGCGCAUGCCUGUAAUCCCAGCAGCCCAGGAAGCUGAGACAGAAGGAUCACAAGUUCAAGGCCAGUCUCAG
rnacentral:sRNA from 1 species